GUCUAUGGUCCUACCACCCUGAAUGUGCCCAAUCUUGUCUGAUCUCAGAAGCUAAGCAGGGAUGGGCCUGAUUAGUACUACUUGGAUAGGAGAGUGAGAACUAGUCGAUC
rnacentral:rRNA from 1 species